UACAGAGGGUGCAAGCGUUAAUCGGAAUUACUGGGCGUGAAGCGCACGUAGGUGGCUGGGUAAGUUGGAUGUGAAAUCCCCGGGCUUAACUUGGGAAUUGCAUUCAAGACUGCCUUGCUAGAGUGUGGAAGAGGGAAGCGGAAUUCCAGGUGUAGCGGUGAAAUGCGUAGAUAUCUGGAGGAACAUCAGUGGCGAAGGCGGCUUCCUGGUCCAACACUGACACUGAGGUGCGAAAGCGUGGGGAGCAAACAGG
rnacentral:rRNA from 1 species